UACGAAGGGGGCUAGCGUUGUUCGGAAUCACUGGGCGUAAAGCGCACGUAGGCGGAUCUUUAAGUCAGGGGUGAAAUCCCGAGGCUCAACCUCGGAACUGCCUUUGAUACUGGGGAUCUCGAGUCCGGGAGAGGUGAGUGGAACUGCGAGUGUAGAGGUGAAAUUCGUAGAUAUUCGCAAGAACACCAGUGGCGAAGGCGGCUCACUGGCCCGGUACUGACGCUGAGGCACGAAAGCGUGGGGGGCAAACAGG
rnacentral:rRNA from 1 species